AGAAUGGUACUCAAAAAUUGACUUCCUUUCGAUGCUGAUUGAACCUUCCUGCUCAUGCUCCUGAUUCGCAGUUUCCCACUCUUCUCGCCGACCACCGGAGGACGCUUUCACGUCGCCGUUUUCAUCUCCGACUUGACCUCAGUUUCUUCAAUUCCACGAGUAAUUCAAACAAAUUUGAUUUAAUUUAGGGAUGGGGGCGGAGGUGAAGCACCGAUGGUUGGAUUCUGUAAUGGAGUUGACCAAGUCCGCGCAGGAGAGGGGCGCUGACCCCCUCAUGUGGUCGAUAGAGCUCUCCUCCAACCUCUCCGCCGCCGGAGUUUCCAUGCCCUCCGUCGAGCUGGCGGAGGCUCUCGUUUCUCACAUCUGCUGGUCGAAUAAUACUCCCGUUGCCUGGAAGUUUUUGGACAAGGCGUUCGCCAUUCGAAUUGUUCCACCUAUGCUCGUCCUCGCCCUUCUCUCUCACAGGGUAAUACCGAUGCGGAGGAAGUACCCUUCUGCCUAUAGACUGUACAUGGAGCUUCUUAAAAGAUAUGCUUUCUCACUGCCAUCUCUGAUCAACGGUCCCAACUAUCAGAGGAUAAUGGAGUCUAUUAAUGAUGUGCUCCAGCUAUAUAAGAUAUACGGGAUGCAUUCCUCUGAACCAGGGAUCAUUGUUGUUGAAUUUAUAUUUUCAAUUGUGUGGGAGUUGCUUGAUGCAUCACUUGACGAUGAAGCUCUGUUAGAACUCACUCCUGAGAAGAAAUCAAGGUGGCCAGUCAGGAGUCAAGACAUGGAAGUUGACUCUCUUGAUAAUUUUGAAGGAAAAAUAAUGGAGUAUCAGGUGGCAUUGAGUAAGAAAAAUACUGUUAUGGCUACUGAAAUAAUUGGUGAAUUUUUUCAAAACAAAAUGACUUCCCGGAUCCUCUACUUGGCCCGCCGGAACAUGCCAAAGGACUGGGAAUGCUUCACUCAGAAUUUGAGAUUGCUUGCAACAAAUUCAUCAUCCUUAAGGAACUCAAAAUAUAUAUCUCCGGAGGCACUCUUGAAAUUAGCGUCUGAUACUCGCCAAGUGCUGUCACAUGAAUGCAAAACAAACUCAAAACAAUUUCAUGUUGUAAUAGCUAAAUCUCCCUCGGAAUAUGUUGGUAGUUAUCGUUGUAAUGUUCAAUCAACCCUUUGGAUCCCCAUAGAGCUUUAUUUAGAAGAUGCAAUGGAUGGAUGCUAUAUUAGGGCCAGUAGUGCUGCUGAAACUCUUACAGGUUUGGUGAAGGCUCUCAAGGCUCUAAAUCAGACCACUUGGCUGGAUACAUUCCUUGGUUUGUGGACUGCCGCUUUACGUGUUGUUCAGAGAGAGAGAAAUUCAAGUGAUGGUCCUGUUCCUCUCCUUGACACUUGUUUAUGCAUGUUAUUGUCCACCACAACACUUGCAAUUGUGAAUAUUAUUGAAGAAGAAGAGAUUAAAUUGGUUAGUGAAGCUGAACAAAAUUCUAUCAGUCAAAGAAAAGAUAUCCAGCCGCAGGGAAAGCGCCGUCAGGACUUAGUGUGCAGCCUGCAGUGGUUGGGUGACUUUGAAGGCUUGUUGGAUCCACCACCACCUGUAAGUUCAUUGGCUAAUCAAGCUGCUGCAAAAGCAAUGUUGUUCCUUUCAGGCGUAACAGUUAGCGGUGGGCACCUAGAUGGCAUGAGCUUGAAUGACAUGCCCUUGAAUUGUUCUGGGAACCUUCGCCAUCUAAUUGUUGAGGCCUGCAUAGCCAGAAACAUUUUGGACACAUCAGCCUAUUUGUGGCCUGGAUAUGUCAAAGGCCGCUGUAGCCAGAUUCCUCGAAGCACUCCUGGCCAAGUGCUCGGUUGGUCAUCAUUAUUGAAAGGGGUACCUUUAACUCCUCCCAUGGUCAGUGCAUUGGUGUCAACUCCAGCUACUUGCUUGGCAGAGAUAGAGAGGCUGUAUGAGAUUGCUGUCAGUGGUACAGAUGAUGAGAAGGUUUCUGCUGCUACAAUAUUCUGUGGAGCUUCUCUUUGCCGUGGUUGGAAUAUACAGGAACAUACAAGCCUUUUGAUCACAAGAUUGCUUUCACCAGCUGUUCCUAAAGAUUUUUCUGGAAGUGAGAGCCAUUUGAUAGGCUAUGCUCCACUUCUGAAUAUUCUUCUGGUCGGAAUAUCGUCAAUUGAUUGCGUACAAAUAUUUUCUUUGCACGGAUUGGUUCCUGAUCUCGCAGCUGCACUGAUGCCAAUUUGUGAAGUUUUCGGUUCCUGCACGCCGAAUAUGUCGUGGAAAGUUAGUCCAACAGACGAAAUUUCUUCUCACGACGUAUUUUCAAAUGCAUUCACUCUAUUGCUGAAGCUCUGGAAAUUUAAUCAACCACCUUUGGAGAAUAUAAUGGGGGAGGUGACUCCAGUCGGGUCCCAUAUAACACCUGAGUACCUCUUACUGGUGCACAACUCCAAUUUAGCACUGCACGAAAACCCUCCGAAAAAUCAGCUUCGAAUCAACCGGCCAUCGAGAUAUUCAAAUCCCUCUUGUAGGGAUCCUAUAUUCAUGGAUUCCUUUCCAAACCUCAAGCGUUGGUACAGGAAGCAUCAAGAAUGUAUUGCUUGUGUUCUUUCUAGUCUGGUUCCCGGGAAUCCUGUUCAUCAUAUUGUCGAGGCGCUCCUGAAUAAGAUGUUCCGAAAAAUCAACAGAGGAGGUCCUACUCCUACCUUGUCUGCUACAACUUCCGGAAGCAGCAGCUCGUCUGCAUCAGGAAUAGACGAUUAUUCUCUCGGCCUUAAGAUACCCGCAUGGGAUAUCCUCGAGGCUGUUCCCUUUGUUCUUGAUGCCGCCCUUACUGCGUGUGCUCAUGGGAAAGUGUCGCCGCGGGAACUGACCACGGGGCUCAAAGAUCUUGCCGAUUUUCUCCCCGGUUCGUUGGGAACUAUAGUCAGUUACUUUUCAGCUGAGGUGACUCGUGGGCUUUGGAAGCCUGCUUACAUGAAUGGAACCGACUGGCCGAGCCCGGCUGCAAACUUGUCGAGCGUUGAACAGCAGAUUAAGAAAAUCUUAGCUGCUACUGGUGUUAAUGUCCCGUGUCUUGCUGCAGGGGGAAAUUCUCCAUUGGUACUUCCAUUACCCUUGGCAGCUCUUCUCAGUCUCACAAUAACAUACAAACUCGACAGAGGCUCCGAUCGAUAUCUAAACUUGAUCGGUCCCGUUUUGAUCAACCUCGGGAUUAGUUGCCCCUGGCCGUGCAUGCCGAUAAUAGGCGCUCUGUGGGCGCAAAAGGCUAAACGAUGGAACGACUUUCUUGUGUUCUCCGCAGCCCAGACUGUGUUCCACCACAAUAACGACGCGUUAGUUCAGCUCAUCCGCGUCUCCUUUACGACGCUCCUCGGUUUGAAUUCCUCCUCCGUCGCUAGCAACGGCGGGGUCGGACCUCUCCUCGGCCACGGCUUUGGUUCUCACUUUUCCGGUGGCAUUUCCGCCGUCGCCCCCGGCAUCCUAUACUUGAGGAUUCAUCGAGCGGUCCGGAACGCCGUAUUUUUAACUGAAGAAAUCGUCUCUGUUCUUAUGGACACUGUGAAAGACAUUGCGAAUUGCGGGCUGCCGGUCGAGAAAUUGGAGAAACUCGGCAAGACAAAGUUUAGGAUGAAGUACGGCCAGGUUUCUCUCUCCGACUCAAUGACUCGAGUCAAGGUUGCGGCGUCAUUAGGCGCUUCGCUCGUCUGGCUCACCGGAGGUUUGGUUUCGGUACAGUCACUAAUCAAAGAAAUACUCCCGUCGUGGUUCAUAUCCUUCCACGCCUCGGAUUUAAAAUACGGCUCCUCCUCCUCGUCGUCGGGAGGGAUUGUGGCGAUGCUCGGAGGAUACGCGCUCGCCUACUUCACGGUGAUCUCGGGAAUAUACGCGUGGGGGUUGGACUCGGAAUCGCCGGCGUCGAAACGGCGGCCGGGUUUUCUUGGGAAGCAUUUGGAGUUUCUGGGUAGCGCGAUGGACGGGAAGAUAUCGUUGGGGUGUGAUAAGGGUACUUGGCGGGCUUAUGUGACUGGGUUUUUUAGCUUGAUGGUGAGCUGCACGCCGGCGUGGAUGGUGGAGGUUAAUGUGGAGGUGGUGAAAAGAGUUAGCAGAGGGCUGAAGCGAUGGAAUGAGGAGGAACUUGCUCUUGCUGUUCUUGGAGUCAGCGGGAUUGGCGCCAUGGGAGCUGCUGCUGAAAUGAUCAUUGAUGCAGGGGUUUUGCGGCAAAACCCAGAGAAGGAGGAGGGGAGAAAGGAUGGAGGUGCAAGUGGCGCUCCAUCUCCACCUGCUAACGUGCGCCUCACUUCCGCCGCCGGUGAAUUCUCCUUCCGUCGCUGCAUUUAAUAAAUCCAGAGCUUUUCGAGCAAAGCGUUCUAUCAGAACUUCUUGUAGAAGCAAGAAGAUUGAGGAUAAAGACUUGUAUGGACUUCCGAAAGAGUACUACGACGAUGAAUGGCAAGCUAAGCAGAGGGAAAAGACAAAGGAGCUCCGUAGGAAGCAAAAAGAGGAGGAAGAGGAAGAGGAAAGGAAG